GUGGGGAAUAUUGGACAAUGGGGGGAACCCUGAUCCAGCCAUGCCGCGUGUGUGAAGAAGGCCUUUUGGUUGUAAAGCACUUUAAGCGAGGAGGAGGCUACCGAGAUUAAUACUCUUGGAUAGUGGACGUUACUCGCAGAAUAAGCACCGGCUAACUCUGUGCCAGCAGCCGCGGUAAUACAGAGGGUGCAAGCGUUAAUCGGAUUUACUGGGCGUAAAGCGCGCGUAGGUGGCCAAUUAAGUCAAAUGUGAAAUCCCCGAGCUUAACUUGGGAAUUGCAUUCGAUACUGGUUGGCUAGAGUAUGGGAGAGGAUGGUAGAAUUCCAGGUGUAGCGGUGAAAUGCGUAGAGAUCUGGAGGAAUACCGAUGGCGAAGGCAACCAUCUGGCCUAAUACUGACACUGAGGUGCGAAAGCAUGGGGAGCAAACAGGAUUAGAAACCCCGGUAGUCC
rnacentral:rRNA from 1 species